AUACGUAGGUGGCGAGCGUUAUCCGGAUUUAUUGGGUUUAAAGGGUGCGUAGGCGGCUGAUUAAGUCAGCGGUGAAAGGUAGCAGCUUAACUGUUUUACAUGCCGUUGAUACUGGUUAGCUUGAGUUAACAGAAGGCAGAUAGAAUUUCUGGUGUAGCGGUGAAAUGCUUAGAUACCAGGAGGAAUACCGAUUGCGAAGGCAGUCUGCUUCAGUUACACUGACGCUGAGGCACGAAAGUGCGGGGAUCAAACAGGAUUAGAUACCCUGGUAGUCCGCACAGUAAACGAUGAUUACUAGUUGUUGGCUUAAGUCAGUGACCAAGGGAAACCGAUAAGUAAUCCACCUGGGGAGUACGCCGGCAACGGUGAA
rnacentral:rRNA from 1 species